AUGCUUCAGCAACACAUAUGCUAAAAUUGGAAAGAUACUGAGAAAGAUAGUAUGGCCCCUGCACAGGGAUGACACACAAUUUAAUGGAGCAUCACAUACAAAC
ensembl:snRNA U6 U6 spliceosomal RNA